UGUCAUGGCAGCUGUGCAGGGGAUCCCUUCGGGUAUGCCGGGCUCCUUUCGUCCCGGUUCGCCAACCUGCGUACAGCUGCCUCCAUA
rnacentral:antisense_RNA from 1 species